CGAUGUGCGGUAGAAGCAUCCCCAGGCCCUUGCCCAGCAAUCUGCUCUUCUGAUGGAUGAGAUAGUACAUGAAUUUUGGCUGACGAUUGUUGCAAUCAUGGAGUUGCAGGAUAUUUUUCCUAUUUCCCAUUUGAUUCCAUGAAGCAGCACACCAGGGUGUGGAAAUCCAAGUUCCAGGGUACAGGUUCCUCUAGCUCAGGUACGACAGGCCUGUGAAGCAGUAGUGCAAGACAGUUCAUGUCAGCUCACCUUGCAGCGGUCGCAGCAGCCACGUCUCCAAGGGAUGGAACCUGGCAGCUCAUCUGCUGCACCAGGAUCAGUGCCACCCCGUCCAAGGGAGCCCAUCCGCCAUGCCCGUAAUGUGUUUGACAAAAUGCUCAGGAGGGCAAGUAGUGCUGUGAUAUUUUGACAGAAGAUUUUGCAGUAUCGUUCCUUUC